AUGAAUGGAAUAAUGGUGAGCGCUUCAACCGGGGUGAUGAACUCUCUCCUGGGUAAGCUGGCCACUCUGAUGGGAGAGGAGUUUGCCAAGCUAAAGAACCUGAGGAAGGAGGUGAAGCACAUCAGCGAUGAACUGAGCAGCAUGAAGGAUGCUCUAGAGAGCCUUGCGGAUGUGGAUACGCUGGAUAAACACACCGCUAGCUGGAGGGACGCGGUCAGGGAGAUGUCGUAUGACAUCGAGGAUGUUAUCGAUGACUUCAUGUGCAAAACUGGGGAGAAAAGCAAAAAAACUGGUUUUAUCCAAGACACCACUCAACGCCUCAAAACUUCAAGGGGCCGCCAUCAGAUCGCUGGGCAGAUUCGGGACAUCAAGAAACUUGUGCGUGAAACAAGUGAGCGGCGUGAAAGAUAUAAGAUUGAUAUCCCCAAAUCGGGCAAUGUGGCAGUUGACCAACGCGUUGUGGCACUCUAUGAAGAAUCAUCUAAAGUUGUUGGUAUGGAUGGCCCAACCAAUAUGCUUGUCAAUUGGCUAAAAGAUGAGGAGAAGAAGUUGAAGAUUGUAUCAGUUAUUGGUUUUGGAGGUUUGGGAAAAACAACACAUGCCAAUCAGGUAUACCAUAAGCUGGAGGGGAAAUUUCAGUGUGGUGCAUUUUUGCCGGUGUCUCAAAAGUCAAAUAUGCCAAAACUUCUGCAUAGUUUAUUAACCCAACUUGGGUGUGGACAAUAUUGUCAUGACUGUGAGUUAAAUGUUCUUCUCGACUAA
rnacentral:rRNA from 1 species